rnacentral:rRNA from 1 species
UACGGAGGGUGCAAACGUUGCUCGGAAUCAUUGGGCGUAAAGCGCACGUAAGCGGCCUGUUAAGUCGGGUGUGAAAGCCCUGGGCUCAACCCAGGAAGUGCACUCGAAACUGGCGGGCUUGAAUAUGGAAGAGGGUCGCGGAAUUCCCGGUGUAGAGGUGAAAUUCGUAGAUAUCGGGAGGAACACCAGUGGCGAAGGCGGCGACCUGGGCCAAUAUUGACGCUGAGGUGCGAAAGCGUGGGGAGCAAACAGG